rnacentral:rRNA from 1 species
GCCAUCAGGUUAAGCUGGGGACUCUAAAGGAACUGCCUACGCAAGUAGUGAGGAAGGCGGGGAUGACGUCAAAUCGAGCACGGCCCUUACGUCCAGGGCUACACACGUGGCUACAAUGGCCGAUACAGGAGGGCAGCUACCUGGUGACAGGAUGCAAAUCUACCAAAGUCGGUCUCAGUUCGGAUCGGAGUCUGCCAACCCGACUCCGUGAAGUUGGAUUCGCUAGUAAUCGCGCAUCAGCCAUGGCGCGGUGAAUACGUUCCCGGGCCUU